CUGGCAAACUCGCCGAGUUUUGGAGGUAAUAUGUGUGUAUGUAUGUAAUCCAAAAAAGAAAUGGGAAGGAGAGAAGACUAAACACGUGUAGCCGGACUCCAUGGCAGCCUUCAAACUUGGGCGAUUGAGAAACGAAAAAAUUCAUAGAAUCUUCUUCUUUGAUUAUUUUUAUUCAAAUCCCCCCUCCCAAACAAAUUUUUUCAAUUUUUAAAAAUUAAAAUUACAAGUUGAAGUUGGGGGGUUCGUGGUCGCCACUACCUAAUCGCAUCGGGUUUUUUUAAUAGAAGAAGAAGAAGAAGAAGGAGGAGAUCAAAGAAGAAGAAGGAAAAAUAAUAUGCAAUUAUAGCUAAAAAAGGGGUGGGGUGUUUUGAAAAUAAUCGGAAAUCGGCGAUGGAGAUGCGGUGGUGGUGGUGGUGGGAUAUGAUGAUUGUGGCAGCGGUGGUGGUUCUGGUAAGUGGGUGUUUGGCUGAUGAUGAUGAUGAUGAAUGGGGUCAAAGGGCACCGUAUCGGAUCCACACGCUCUUCUCCGUCGAGUGCCAGAACUACUUCGAUUGGCAGACCGUUGGUUUGAUG